AGCGAACGCUGGCGGCAGGCCUAAUACAUGCAAGUCGAACGGAUCCUUCGGGAUUAGUGGCGGACGGGUGAGUAACACGUGGGAACGUGCCCUUUGGUUCGGAACAACUCAGGGAAACUUGAGCUAAUACCGGAUAAGCCCUUCGGGGAAGGAUUAUCGCCAUUGGAGCGGCCCGCGUCUGAUUAGCUAGUUGGUGGGGUAAAGGGACCUACCAAGGCGACGAUCAGUAGCUGAUCUGAGAGGANGAUCAGCCACACUGGGACUGAGACACGGCCCAGACUCCUACGGGAGGCAGCAGUAGGGAAUCUUGCGCAAUGGGCGAAAGCCUGACGCAGCGACGCCGCGUGAGGGAGUGACGGCCUUCGGUU
rnacentral:rRNA from 1 species